GUCCCUUUUUAAAAAUGGCUUUAACAAAUUUCUUUAUUAAUAUUUUUCCUGUUUUUUACUUUGAUCUUAAUAGAAUACUGACCCCAAAAACAAAUUAUACUCCAUUCCUUAAUGAUUCUGAUCAUUUCCGAAAAAGCUGACGAUUCGCGUUUUGAUUGGACACUCAUAUCGAAACUUUCUUGUCAAUGACGUUCGGUACUUUGAUUAAAUUCAUUCGCUGGUUGGCCAUCACGCCAACUGGCGGGUCGGCAAUACCGCCGUAAGAAGAAUACGAGAAUAACAACAGAUUCUAAUCAAGAACUUCCAUAAUUUUGAAGCAUGAUUGUUCUAAAUACAAAGGUGUUAAACAUAUUUAUUGCGUAAAAUCAGCUUCAAGUUCUGCUUCACUUCAAUUCAAGGAACAAAUUAGCAAUAUUAGGCAGAACCUUCAAGACAAGAAUAGAACUUGAAAUGAAGGCUAGCAAGAAGUGUGAAAAUGACUCAUCCUAUUUUUAUAAUACAGUAUCUGCUACAGGAUGCGACAUCUACGGAUGUGUUCAUCUACUACAUAAUGAAGAGAAUGAAAUAAAUCCAGUUUCUUACAUUAAGGAAAUUGGCUACUCCAACAAUAUGAAUCAUAAGAAUCUGUUGUUGUCAUAGUCUUCUAUUUCUUAUUCUGCUGGGGAUAGGUGCUUGUAAUGUUGAACUGGGGUAUUAAGUAAAAGGAAUAUUAAUAACGAAAAUUUAUCUAAAGUUUAUGUGUAAGAUUCAGAAAAUACUAGCUUAUUGAUUCAAAGUUGUAAUUUUAGUUUAAAAGUAAAGUUUUGGAUUUGGAAAAUUUCAUACUGUAAAAUAUGUAUUGUUUUUAAUUGAUAUAAAAUGCUCUCUGAAUAGGCAUCAAUUGAUUUUUCAAAAAAUAUUGUUAAACAAUGAAAUUUAUUAAUGUAUUUUAGUUUUCUCAUAUAUUUUUUUUAAAUUUAACUGACAUUAUUUCCAUUCAUUUUUAUCAAUGCAUGAAUAAGUAAUAUGUUGAAUCAUUAUGUAAAUAAAUCCAUAACUGGUGCUCUUGAUUAAAACCAAAUUAAGUUUUUUUUUAAAUUCUUUUUUUCUUAAAAUAUGAAGUGAGUAGAAAAAGAUUCCCAAAUUUAUCUUGUAGUUUUCACUAGUAUCUUUCAAAAGAUGGGGCACCCCCCCCCCUUAAGUAUUAAACGUGUUGAAAAUUAUAAAAUGUCAUGAAGCUUUUAAGCUUGCUAUUUUUUUUUAAAUUUUGGGGGCGACAAGAUCAUUUACUUUUAAUUUUUUUUUUUUUUUCAUUUUCAAAUUUUUUCUUCUACAAGUCCUUAAAGUUUGAUUCUUUCCCCUUUCCUCAUCUUUAGGGCAACAUGGUUGAAUUGCACAGAAACACUGUAAUCAAUAAUUUUAAUAUACAUGUGGCAAUGAUGGUUGCACUGAAGUAAAUUUUAAUGGCAUUUGAGACUGUUGUUUUUAAACUUUUUUCAAUCCAUGCAAAUCUUUGUUUUAUACUCAUGUUGGUUAUGCAUCUUUUGUAAUUGGAUUUUGUUAUCUUUUGUAAUUGGAUUUCCACAGUGCAGUGCUGUAGGGUAGGGAGGGGGGGGGGCUGUCCCCCAAAAUAUUUCUCCAAUUCAUGUAAAAAUAAUGCAGAUAUAGUGAAAUCAUCUUACAAUGAACUUCAAUGGAUCAGAAAUUUUGUUCGUUAUAUUGGAAUUCAAGCAAUGUAUUGGAAAUUAAACCGUGACUGAAAAUUUAUUUUGUGGAAAAGGAAAUUUUGUUGUAUUGGCAUUCGUUGUGACCAGUGAUGUCCCAACCAAUUUUUCGGAGGGUAUACUCUCAGAAACCCAUUGUGCACAAUAUUUGUAUGGGAUCAUAUACGUACAGUUGGCUCUCUAUUUAACAACUUUCAAGGGACCACAAAAAUCGUCCUUAAAUAGAUUGCUUUUAAAACUACAGUGGAGCAUGCUGGUCCGUGAAAAGUCGUCUUUAAGUAGAGAAAGUUGUUAAACAGAGAGCCAACUGUAUGUCUAAAAAAUGUUUGAGAGCAUACGGCAUAUAUGGAGUAUACCGUAUGAGAACACUCCCGGUUAUAAUGGAAUUUCACAGUAUAAUUAAAUUGGUUUCAAACCACCAGUUUUUUUUUUUUUUUUUUUUUUUUUUUUUAUAUUCAGUACCCCUAUAUAUUUUUCCCACCACAGCACUGCCACUGUGGGUUUUAAAUGCAGUUGAGAAACAUCUUCACCAUCUUUCCAAACACCUUUUAGGGUUUUUAACAGAUUAUGUAUGCUUACAAACUUGCAUUUUGUAGUAUUUCGUGCAAAAAUGAAAGUAAGUAUUCAAGACGAGAGAUUGAUUAUUGUGUUUUUGUUUGAAACAGCCUAACUCAGACACAUGUUGGGCACCUCUCUUAUCAUAGCAUCUGCUAACUCUUUCUAUGAGGUGUUCGAUACUGCGUCAAAAUUUUCAAACCAUAACCAUGUUCGGUUUGGACCAAACACUGACGGGAAAUCUUAACAUCUGAUUUCUGUAAUAAGAGGUUUUUCUAGCAACAAAGAGGGAAGAGCAGACAGUAACAUCACUACAAAAACUUCUCCAAUUUUUUAACUGUCUUCAUAUGUAUUUUAUGCAUGCAAUACAAAUAUAUAUAUAGAUUUUGACUUUUUAAAACUUACAUGGGUUUUUUCUAAUAUUUCUUAAAUUUAAAUGUGUUGAUCCCAGAUCACUUUCAAGAAGCUAAAAAAAAUUUGGGGGUUUUAAAUACUGUUAAGAUUUACUUUGCAAUAGCUAUUAAUUUAGCAUGAAACAAGUUUCCUUUUUAAAAUUCCUCUAAAGUAGAUAGCCUUAUUACUUCCCUCGGCUGUGAAUUAUUAAUAAGAAAAUUUUGUUUUUAUAAUAGAACUGGAAGACACUUAUUUAUGAAAAAUUUCUCAUUUUAAAGAAUUGUUGCAAAAGAGCCUACUUUAUGUGCUCCUAAACACAAACCAUAAAAUUUGCCUCAGAGAAAUAAGCACUAUUACUGAAAAAUAUUGAGCAUGCUAAAAUGUUUGUUUGAGUUUACAAAACUGGUAAAUUUAUUGUGAAAUUUAAAAUAAAAAUUUUUAAUUUAUUUUCUUUUAAUGUUUUAUUUUUGAUAUGUUAAAAACAAAAUUUUAAAUACAAUGAAACCUGCAUAAGUUGACCACCUGCGGUGCACUACUUCAGUGGUCAACUUAAACAGGUGAUCAACUUACAGAGUUUGAUUUAUAUGAUAAGGGCUCGUGCCUGAAAAAAAUCGGUCAACUUACAAGGGUGGUCAACUUCACAGGUUUUACUGUAUAACAUUAUUUGAAUUGUAAAUGAAAACUUCUGCUUUUUAUGAACUUUUUUCCUUGGUGUUGUUGUUAUUUUGUGCCAGCAAGGCUAACAAUUUUGAGGUGUGAUGCCUCACUUUUCCAACUGUACCGUAUGUUUAUAGGCUAGGCUUUUAUUUGCAGCAUAACAACACAUUCACACAAAGAGAGGACAAGGACAGGAGAGAGAAAAUACAUCCAUGGGAAUGGAAAGUACGAGCCAGGGACCUCCGUAUCACAGUCAGACUUCUCUGACCACUAUAUAAGGUGGCCAGCAACUUUUUCCCUUGUGUGACACAAUUAGUUAUACAAUUAACCUGGGUUCAAUUGGUUUUGGAGCUCUCGGGAACUUGGUUCCUGUUCUUCUUUUCAACUCAAUGUGAAUUUUGACACAAUCAAGAUUAUUUAUAUCAAAUUUAAGCGAAGUUCAUAAAUAUAAGUUUCACAUGAGUAUAUAUGUUUUAAACGUACAGAAAAGUUCUGAAUAAAUUCAUGUAUGCUUGUUUGUGCAGUUACAUUUUGGUUAAGCAAUAUAAGCUUUUAAAAAAUUCAUAUUCCUCUGUUAUUUUGCCUUUAAAAAUUUAAUAUUUGAAGAGUCUGCUGGAAAAUCAACCAAGUUCACUUUUUGAUAAAAUCUAGUUUUGAUGUUUUAUUUAUUCAUUCUAUAACAUAGAUGAUACUUUUGGCAUAUCAAAUAUUUAAUUAAAUAUUAUUUUAACACAAAUUAUUUUUAAAAUGUAUUUCCUUUGCUCAUUUUACUAGUUAAAUAAAAUUAUAUUUUUGUUUUAUUUGAAAUCGGUCCAGUUGGACUAAGGCAAUUUUUCCAGUGACCUCUUUGUUUGUUAAACACCAAAUGUAACUUAUGGACUACAUUAGUUCUGUUUGAAAUGUAUAAUUGCAGUUGCAGUGCAUUUAUUUCCUUUUCAACCUGUAUUACAGUUAUCAGAAUAGUAAUAAAAAAAGAAAGACAA